rnacentral:piRNA from 1 species
AAGGUUUUCCCAUGAAGCAAGGCGUUUUGA